UAUUUAAGUGUCUGCAUUACUAAUAGAGAUGGAUUACCUUUUGGAAAGCCACAGUCAACAGGGGAAGUUGCCUGCUUUGUGUUUCCAGUGCUGAAAAUGAACCAGUGUGUUUAUGAAUUAUUGGCCAGGACUGGAGCAUUUGUGCUGAGGCUAAAGGUCAUGCGACACUCUGAACAAAAUUUUAUUUACCGUUUAACCUCCCUUUCCCAUCCACUUGCCUCAG